UACGAAGGGGGCUAGCGUUGCUCGGAAUCACUGGGCGUAAAGGGCUCGUAGGUGGCCAACUAAGUCAGACGUGAAAUCCCUCGGCUUAACCGGGGAACUGCGUCUGAUACUGGAUGGCUUGAGUUUGGGAGAGGGAUGCGGAAUUCCAGGUGUAGCGGUGAAAUGCGUAGAUAUCUGGAGGAACACCGGUGGCGAAGGCGGCAUCCUGGACCAACACUGACGCUGAGUGAGCGAAAGCCAGGGGAGCAAACGGG
rnacentral:rRNA from 1 species